rnacentral:rRNA from 1 species
UGGGGAAUAUUGGACAAUGGGCGAAAGCCUGAUCCAGCCAUGCCGCGUGUGUGAAGAAGGUCUUCGGAUUGUAAAGCACUUUAAGUUGGGAGGAAGGGCAUUAACCUAAUACGUUAGUGUUUUGACGUUACCGACAGAAUAAGCACCGGCUAACUCUGUGCCAGCAGCCGCGGUAAUACAGAGGGUGCAAGCGUUAAUCGGAAUUACUGGGCGUAAAGCGCGCGUAGGUGGUCUGUUAAGUUGGAUGGGAAAUCCCCGGGCUCAACCUGGGAACUGCAUUCAAAACUGACUGACUAGAGUAUGGUAGAGGGUGGUGGAAUUUCCUGUGUAGCGGUGAAAUGCGUAGAUAUAGGAAGGAACACCAGUGGCGAAGGCGACCACCUGGACUAAUACUGACACUGAGGUGCGAAAGCGUGGGGAGCAAACA